GCCCUUAUAGCUCAGUGGUAGAGCGCAGCACUUGUACAUACCUGCCUCUUCCAGAUGUGAGGUCUGGCGGUGGCGGAGGAGAUGCUGAGGUCCGUCGUUCAAUCCGGCGUGGGGGCA